rnacentral:rRNA from 1 species
AGCUGCAACUCGACUGCACGAAGCUGGAAUCGCUAGUAAUCGCGGAUCAGCACGCCGCGGUGAAUACGUUCCCGGGCCUUGUACACACCGCCCGUCACACCAUGGAAGUCUGCAAUGCCCGAAGCCGGUGGCCUAACCACUUAUGUGGAAGGAGCCGUCUAAGGCAGGGCAGAUGACUGGGGUGAAGUCGUAACAAGGUAUC